UAAAACCUAAGCUUUUGAACCUUAGAGAUUACAUUUCGCAAGUACAAUGAAUUCAUUACAAUCGCUUCAUAAUGUUGAGAGAGACGUUUUCUAUAAGCAAUUAUCAUUCUGUGCUUUCAUGUUUCUCAAAAGAAGAGAGGUUCAGAUAACGAUAUAUCUCAUUGUUAUUAUUCUUCGGUUUAUCAUCUAACUUUUGAAUCAGGUGGAAGAACAAUCAUUCAUGAGCUGAUUCUCAUGCUUCUGCACCUUCUUCUUCUUGCUAUUCCAUCUUCCUCCAUUUCUCCACCAAAGCAGAGACCAUGAAGGAGCAAACAAUGGCAUCCAACAAAACCAGCUACAAGUUUAUUGCAUCAGUAUUUCAUUCAUCACUUUGGCUGCUUGGUUAGUUCAUGAUGAACUUCUUCUGCAGAACCUCUACAAUGGAUUAUGACCUUGUUUUAAGUUUUCGGUUAAUUCAAACACUAGGAAUGGCCAUGUCUUCCAUUUUUUUCUUCAUUCUUUUGUAAAGAGUAGUAAUAUUUCCAAGUUUAUUCUCAAAGAAAAAUUUGCCUUAUCUUUCUAUGUUAUGUAUUAUCCUUUUUGUUAAUUAUUUGUUGUUCUAUGUUCCUGAUGCUCCAUCUCAUAUGCUGUAGGAAAACUGAACAAAGAUUCCCAGUUGGAUGUCUUUUACAGUUUUAGGUCUCUAGUAGCAUCUUUGUUCCUCGUAAUUGUCAAAGGUGCCUUCUACUUUCUUUCUUUCUGUAUAUAUCACACCCAAGUUCAUUGUAGUUCUAAUAUAGAGAGAAAGUCUAACUAUAACAACUUUGUAAUGGUAACAACAUUCGUAUUUUAUAAUCAUUUUAUACCAUAAUAA
rnacentral:lncRNA from 1 species